UGCUGAUAUGUGACACUACGGCAGCGGCCGCUAGAAGGGGCUUCGUCCCACGCAGUUGAUACCGGCACGGCACGCUGAGUAGGCGUGGGCUUUCGUGUGCGGACAUAACACAAAUGUCCUGAGCAGAAACAUGACAUGGCGGUUACCGUUGUAGUCUUUUCUUCGGCGUGAUGUGAAUAGAAUCAACAUCUGGACACGAUAUCAUUCGUGCAAAUGCUCCGAUUGUUGAGCGUUUGUUCCCUCAUCAAACGACAUCGUGGCAGUGACGUGACAAGAAGAUCACGCUGGUUGCGCUUCCUAUUGGAGGAUGGUACGCUCUGGAGCUGGCCUCAGUCGAAGAACGUAUUCCGUGUUAAAAAAUAACAGGCAGAAAUCGGUGGUAUCCAGUCGCCUUCGCCGAGCAGCUGCGUGUGUCUACCAAAUGAAUGGCCGUGCACAUCAUUUCGGCAUUGGAAGUUGCAAGAAUAUGGUCAGACGAUCAGACUUUUCUGCAAGAUUGCAGCUGUGCCUGGCAGUUUCAAUCCCAGGAAAAAAGGGACGAUGCAGCAGGUAAUCAAAGGUGUGGAGAAAAGGCUAUUUUGUCAGCUUUAUUGUGAUGUCGUCUUAGGCCUCAUAAUAUCCGUGUAGCGUCAGGAAAUAAAAGUGAAAAAGUCAGUAUU